GUAGGCUAUGGAGACAUGGUCCCUACAACAAUAGGUGGCAAAAUAGUAGGAUCCCUGUGUGCAAUUGCAGGCGUAUUAACCAUUGCCUUACCUGUCCCUGUCAUAGUGUCCAAC
rfam:Xenopus laevis strain J chromosome 2S, whole genome shotgun sequence.